GAAGCGGGCCAGGCCGUCGCUGGUGCAAUCCCGAAAGGGCGGGGCUUAUGCCGAAAGGCGGGGGCUCCCGGGUCGAAAGGCCGCACUGGAGGAACGUCCGGACUGCACAGGACAGCGCAGGAGGUAACACCUCUCCACCGACAAGCCAGGCGGGUUCGCCCAAGUGGCCCUAAGGUGAGGAUCAGAGCAACAGAGACGAGCCGGUUAAGUCCGGGUGAAACGGGCAAUCUCUGCGCGCAGCAAUACCAAGUAGGCACACCUGAAGCGGCGCGGUUCGCCGCGCUGACGAUUCCUUGUGGUUCCGCAGGGCGAGUGUGCGGGUAGGUAGCACCGAGCCGGGUGGGUGACUCCCGGCCCAGAUGAAUGACGGUCACGCCCGGGGCAACCCGGGUGCACAAAAUCCGGCGUAUCGGCCCGCUUCACAA
rnacentral:RNase_P_RNA from 1 species